CCGAAAGGAGACUCAUGCAGGUGAAUCCCUGGGUGAUGCUCUUCUGUCUGGACAUCUGGUAGCUGCUGAAAACAAUAGCUAUCAACUCAAAGAGUUUUAUCCAAAACAACUGAUGUAGAAGGUAUGAUUAUAGUCAAAGCUUGGAUACAAUAUCAUUGUCUGCCCACUGGGAAUGGAUGACUUAUUUCCCGUAUCAGAUGGUCCAGUUGGUAUCUGAUGGCACUACUACUUGCCAGUAUUCAAUCAAGCUAUUUCGCACUGGUGCCUACUUCUGCUCUCAGGUGUUGCCUUGGGGAUUUGCUUGAAAUUGUGGUGGCUGUAGACAGCUCUAUGAGCUCUUAAAGUUCUUUUGAAGCUGUCAGAGAGCAAGUCCCAAUAUAAUCAGGGUGUGUUUUCCUUUGUGACAUCAUUAGCUUUUCUUGGGAUCUCAAAGGACCCUGUGCAGCAGGCCACUAUUUGAAUGUGUGUUGCUCCUUGUGGCAGGUAUACUGUUCCAAUGCCCUGGGAUCUCUGUAGUGGUCGGUACUGUAUUGAUUAUAAAUGGUGAAGUCCUAGUAUCUUGCUAGAGUGAGCUGGCCAGGAUGGUGGAGCUCUACCACCAUUUCACAGGUUAUAGACAGGGGCCACCAGGUUUCAGGAAAGCAGCAAUGACCCCUCAGUAAUAGUUGGAAAGUGUGAUAUGACACUGAGCUUCACUGUGUUGGUGAAGAAGAGGUGAGGAAAAUAAAAGCUGCAGUUUGCCUCCACCUCUGAAGAAGCACAAUACACCUUUCUGGGUUACCAAUGGGAUACUUCCCAACAGCUUUGUCAUCACAUACAAUAUUCUCAAACAAGAUCUUAAUGGCAUCUACUUUCUCCAGGAACACAGCCCCUGACCUGUGUGUGUUUGCGUAGAGAAGGCAUGCUAUGUACCCCCUAGGAUAUCAAGAUUCCUGUAGCAGAUUGAGCUCUGGCAGUUGAUCUCAGUGGCUUGAUAGAGUGUCAUUAUAAAAACGCACCUGGAAGAUUCUGUGGAAAAGACAACCUCAGAAGACCAAGAGGCUGACUUUGCAAGAGAGAGUCCGUUUACCACUUAGAACCGUGAACACCACCCCCGCCCUCAUUUAUCUCCAGACUUGAACUAGUGGUUAAAUCCCAACAUGUCCCAGAGAAGUCAAAAGCAUUGUAAAAUCUGGGAAUCUGCCCACCACUCAAGCCUGGGAAAGCUGGCAGAGGAUGCACGUGUUUUACUCACCUGAGUGUUUACAAUGCUCGUGAGGUGCCUCCCUGAUAUUUUUAUAGCAGAAUGGAGAAACACAACCAAGGAGAUACACCUAAGUAACAACAGCAAUGAUGUCAAAAAGAGUGCCUGAAUACUUAGGGUGGAGGUCCUGGACAUGCAAACCCAAGCUUCCUCUUUGCUGUGGCCAGGAAUCUGCAGUGAUUGAGAGCACAGACUGUAUCUAAAAUUCCACCUUUCAAAGUUCAGCAUAUUACUUUUUUUUUUCUUACACCUAUAAAUUUACAAUCCAAAGCAGAGUGGGAGGAAGAGACCUACAAGACCAUGUUUCAUUGGAUAGCUUUGGAGUAAUAUCUAUAAUUUUAGAAAAAAGUUAAGAGGAAGAAGAAACUGGUGUCAGCUACACUUAGAAGAUUUUACAACAGAGACUGGCUUCCAUUCACUGAUCAGACAUUCACUGAUUUUUAAUUCUUACCACCAGAGAAAAAGUUGUUAUGAUGAGGGUCCUCAGGAAAGACAAUACAGUCAGCCGAGAAAUACAAUUUUCUUUGUCUACUGUUGUUUCCUUUACACGGACCAUUGAAAUAUAUACUUAACCACCAGCAAAACUCCUAUUAAACACAAGUAAAAAAAAAUCACUACAUGCAAAAGAGUGAACACCAGGCAAAGUGAUAAUUUAUGAAUUUCCAGGAUUUUUGUUGUAAUUUACCCGUGUAAGUUUACAAUAAAUGAUUGAUGUAACUAAAUUUAUGGAUUGCAAUUAAUUACUAGGUUUGUACCACAGAUGAAGUAAUAUAUAUAUUGUCUAAUUUAAUAAUGAUUUGUCUACAGAAUUCAACCAACUGCUCAUUACAGAAUCUGAUGAACCUACCUUUAGACUACCUGUUAUCUUAACUACCUGUGAAGAUACUAUAUAUGAUGUAAUAGGUUUAACAAAUAAUGAAGGACCUUUUGUCCUUGCUUGACUCAAGAAGGGAUGGAGGGUCUCCAAGAAAUAUAAAUGUAGUCUGCUAUAAUGGGUAUUAGCUAGAUUAGUACUUCAGAAAAGGAAGAAUUAUUUUCAUUAUCAAAUGAUUAUUUGAUAUUUCCAUUCUGCAUUCUAAGCACAUAUUAGUUGAUGUACAGGUGCUGCUGGAUAACUGUUUGGAAACAGACCACAAAAUCGCUCCAAAAGGUAAAAUUCUCAAAUAACAGAGUUGUCAUGGUUGUAAAAAAAAGGUAUGAUAAAUACAUAAAAGCUGGCAAAAAUGGGGAAGGAUUAAAACUGUAACCUUAGUUAUCCUUCAGUAAACAUAGUUAAGUAGAAUGAAGCAGAUGUUUAUUCUGGUAGAUUCUAUUGCAAUGUUACAUUUUAACUUAAUAUUUCUAUUUUGUGAUUUAUUUUUAGUAUAGCAAAAUGUUUGGUUAAUAUUGUGGGUAUUGAUACUGUGUUAAAAUUUGUGACAGUCUAUUUAAUUUUUCAAUAUGAAGAAGUAUUACUGCUAUGAUGAAAUAUUUACUGUUGUGGUGGAAAUAAAUAAGAAAAUAGAAUUGACUAAAAGCAAAACAAACCAAUAAAAAAAGAAAAAAAGUCUGUUAUUUAUCAACAAAACAUUAGGAAAUUUACAUGCUUAAAGUAAACUUUGAUUCCCUAUUCCAAAGUGCCUUAUAUAUUCUACUCUCUUUGCUUUCACAUAAAUUUAUUCUAUGCUAUAAUGUAACUGGUAUACUAUUAAGUCCCAUACAUAUGUUACAUUGAACCAUACAUUUUUCUAUUCCAGGAAAGAGAAUUUUCUCAUUUUUUCCACCACUACCAUCCACCACAAUGACCACUAUUUUUCUCUUCACUUAAAAAGUAUCAUUUAUCUAAAGUUAAUGGCAUAGUUUCAGACUUCUCAUGUGUCCAAGCAUAUGAAUUAACAGUUCCUAUGUUAUUGUCCUAAGAUUUGUAGGUUAAACCUUGGAUAUUCCCAUCUGAGCAUCUGUACCAAACAGAAAAGACCUGUGUGAGUUCCUGAGAACCAGUGCUCAUUCCAGAAGAGACAGGUUUCUCUCCAGGAAGAAAUGUCUGAAAUUCAGUGAAUUAAAAUCCUCAUUGAGUCUUCCUACUCUUUACUUCUCCCUGGAAAAACUGGUUACGAAAAUUUAAUAUUCUGUCAUGAUAAGAUCAAGCUCUAUCAGAUCAGCCAUACAUAUCAAGUACAUUUUGACAAACUUGAUUCAUACUGUUUUCAAAUUAUGAACAACCAAGGCUCUUCUAUCCAAAAAUAUUGAUUAUUUAAUUCUGAAUAUCAUUACAGAGCAGUAAUAUGCUCUCAGCAUUUGGGGAUACAAGAGUCAGAAGAUGGACAAGCUUCCUUCCUAACAACAAUUACCACUUAAUUACAAUAUACCAAGUAGUAUUUUAUCUGCUAGGUAUAUUGGACUUACUUUUCACAGAUAGUUUAUACUAACAAAAUUUCUAACCAAAAUAUUUCUUGAAAAUUACUGAUUUUAUUUGAAAUUAUGUGCAGGAAAAAUACAAGCAUAUCUCUGAAUUUCUAUUUGUCUGUUAAACAAAAGGGGAUAAAUAUGACUAAUGUCAUUUAACAAGAGGAAUUACAGACUAUGAAAAGAGUAGCUUAUUUAUAUCAACUCACAAUACUUUCCAGAGAGAGAAAGAAAAAGGCUAUUAUGUGGCCUGAACAAGAAGUUGGCCAUCCUUUUCCCUUUCUUUGUGGAAGAUGGUCCUGAUAGGAUAGAGACUUAAAGAAGGGAUUGAUUUGUUUUCUCCAGCUGUCCUAAUAGUGAGUGAAUAAAAUUAACUGUGAACUAUUUCAAUCAAUAACUCAAUGAUUGACUUACAUUGAUUAGAAAAGAGCUGAUUCUUUGCCAUGGAUAUCUAGAUACCUUGAUGAUCCUAUUUUGAACCAAUUUAAAAGUAGGACAAUACCCACUGGAUGGAAGUUUCAAAACCUGAAAACAAUAAAACCCACAAGAUUUUAUUUCUUUUAAUAACUUCUGUGACAAUGAAAUUGAAGUCUUACACACUUUUUUUUUUUUUUACUCCAGUGUCUUGUUAUCUGGAGCAAAAUUCAGAAAGGAGAGCAACUAUGUAAAAAAGUAAGAAUUUUGGCUUGCUAUGCCAUUCUUAGAGGUUUCUUUUAUCUUUAUAUUUUCUUGAAAUGUCUUGUGUAAAAUUUAAACAACUUCCUGUACUAUAAAUAAGAUAUUUUGAAGGCAAGCAUAUGCAUAGAUAAUACUUUAGAAAAGAAUUGUGAUUCCAAUUCUGUACUUAGCACUUAAUAUUAAAAGUUUCUUAUAGUGAAUAUAAUUUUCUACAACAGAUAGUACAAUUUUGUUUCACCAUUAACAGGUAAAUAAGUAAAUAUACAUUUAAAUAAAUAUUAUAAAGUUCAUUUGUUAAUUAAUACAAACAUUAUAAAUUAUUGAAUACUUUUUCCAAUGGACAAGCAGCUUUAAAAACCUGCUUUCACCACUUUAUUUAUUUAUUUUUUUUUGAGACAGAGUCUCGCUCUGUCGCCUAGGCUAGAGUGAUCUCGGCUCACUGCCAGCUCUGCCUCCCGGGUGCACGCCAUUCUCCUGCCUCAGCCUCCCAAGUAGCUGGGACUACAGGCACCCGCCACCACACCCGGCUAAUUUUUUGUAUUUUUUUAGUAGAGACAGGAUUUCACCGUGUUAGCCAGGAUGGUCUUGAUCUCCUGACCUCGUGAUCUGCCCACCUCAGCCUCCCAAAGUGCUGGGAUUACAGGCAUGAGCCACCGUGCCCGGCCUUUUUUUGGUAUUUUUAGUAGACAUGGGGUUUCACCCUGUUAGCCAGGAUGGUCUCGAUCUCCUGACCUCGUUAUCCACCCGCCGCGGCCUCCCAAAGUGCUGGGAUUACAGGCAUGAGCCACCGUGCCAGGCCACUUUCACCACUCUUAAUCCUCUGAGGUGAAGAGGUCUUUUAAACUAUAGUUUGUAUAACUGAAAAUCAAAAGAAAAAAGUUUUAAUGAAGUUUUUGUAAUUAGUAAGAAACAUAAGGGAAUACCAAAAGCAAACUUUUUUGAAUGCUUACUUUUGGGGAAGCAUUGAAUUUUAUAUCUGGUAUAUGAUAAUUCAUAUCUUAGGAUAUGCUCCCCUUUCUAUAAGUAGGAAUUAGGAAACACGGAGAGGUGAAUUUUUUGCUCAUGAAUGAAUUUACCCAUUAGGCAUUUUUGAGAGGUAUCAGUAGUCAGCAGUUAUCACUUUCUUCUACUCUUCAUAUUGCUAGAGACAUAGUGACUCCAUGUCUUAUAGAAUGUUCAUUUUCUCUUUCACUUAUCCCAUAUCAUGUGCCAGCUAUUGAUCCAAUCAAUUUUAACAAUGAAAGUUCUAAACCAGGAACCAUUUACACUGGAUCUUACAUUUGCCCUGGGUAAGAUGGCAGUUGAUGGCAGUGUCCACGUGCAUCAGGAAGAAGUCUUCAUUAGCUUCAUGAUUUAAGUCCUUAAAUGUAAUUUUAUCACAGAAAACAUAACCUAUAUUCAAGCCUUAACCUUAACUUAGUCCUCAUAUUCAUUGUUACCCUUACCAAGUUUUUCUUAAUUGUAUGCCUAGCAUGCAAAUGAUACGGACAGGAGACAGGGAAAUACAGGGUAGAAAAGGGCAGUUCCCCAGCAAAGGCCCCACCCUCAAGCCUGAAAAACCAUGGCCCUAAAUGAGGACAGGCAUUCCUGUUGUCACACCCAAAAAGUUGCCUUUUGGCCUGCCAUGCCCCAUAUCCUGUACCCAUAUAAAUCCCGAACCCCACGCUCCAGAAGCAGAUGAGCAGGUGAGGAAAUGAGGAGUCAAACAGAUGGAUAGUAGAACGACACAGCAAAGAAAGAAGAGGAAUGUCUGAAUACCAAGAGGAGUUCAGCUGGGGGCAGUUAGGGAGAGGUUUGGAGACUGGCCAGUUUCCAGGGGAAGAUCACCUUCCUAUUCUAUCCCCUCCUUCUGCCUCCUCAUCCAGCGCACUGAGAGCCACCUCCACCACUCAAUAAAAACCUUGCAUUCAUCCUUUAAGCCCGUGUGUGACCUGAUUCUUCCAGGACGGUGGGUAAGAGCUCAGGAUACUGAAAGCUGUCACACUGGCUCUCUGCGCUUGCGAAAAGGCAGAGGGUCCAUUGAGCUGGUUAACACUUAAAAUCAUCUGCAGACAGCAAGGCUAAGAGAGCAUCAGUUAACACUGUGGCUGCAGGCACCCACCCCAAGACACUGCCGUGUGACCAGAGAACACAGUGCUUGCUCCAGCCUCUGCACCCACCUGUCUGCAUGAUCCCUCUCCCUCAAGGGUUUUGAGCAGCAGUGGUGACCAAAUAGCCAAGCCACUCCCCUGUUGCAAGUCCUGAGAGGGGGAUCAGGGAACUCUCCCAUUUCACUUAGGCAGGGAAGGGGUAAGACUAUGGGAUGGACUAAGAAUGUAGAUUUUACAUAUCACUUGGUAAUUUGUUACAAAUUAUUUGGUAAUUUUUUUUUCUUUUUGAGACAGAGUCUUGCUCUGUUGCCCAGAGCCGGAGUGAAUGGCCAGUCUUGGCUCACUGCAACCUCCACCUCCUGGGUUCAAGCAGUUCUCCUGCCUCAGCCUCCCGAGUAGCUGGGAUUACAGGUGUGCGCCACCAAGCCCUGGCUAAUUUUUGUAUUUUUAGUAGAGAUGGGGUUUCACCAUGUUGGCCAGGCUGGUCUAGAACUCCUGACCUCAUAAUCCACCCACCUCAGCCUCCCAAAAUGCUGAGAUUACAGGCAUAAGCCACCGUGCCCAGCCUACUUGGUAAUUUUUAAAAGCUACAGGUUUAAUAGUUAAUUUCUCAAGCAAAUAAAAGAUGUUCCCAACUCCAAACUGCUUUAUUAAAUAAUUUAACCUAAUUAAAUAGAAUCCUGAUCAUGGACCAUAUAGUUUAUUAUCCAAACUGGAGCCACAGGCAGUAGACAGGAUUGAACCAGACAAUCCUGCAAGAUCACCCACCCUCCUUCAAAGAGAUAUUGUCUGUGAGUGGACAUUAUCCUCACAGCCUUAUACCUCUUUUUUCCAAUGGACAAUUGCAUAUGAAAUGACAGCAGAAAAAUUAAAAAACAGGGCAUCCCCAAGGGCAAAAUAAUGUAGGCCCAACUCAACACAUCAAAGAUGAAAAACUGCAGAAUAUAGCACUCCUCCAACCUGAGCUGUAAAAAGUUAUAUUCUUCAAAUAAUUUUCACUACCACUCUAUAUAACCAUGUUAAAUACAUUAGCACAACAUACUGAUGAAAAUAAAUGUCUUCCAAGAUUUGCACAUAAAUGCAAAGAGGAUCGUAAUCAUUACUUUUAAGAGAUUUGGGGUCAGUUGGUGUGUGUAUAGGGGAGUGUGUUUUAUUGUGAUAUAAUUCAAAAACCAUACAACUGAACAGUUUAAUAUAUUAGCAGAGUUCUGCAACCAUCACCACUAUCUAAUUAUAGAAGAAUUUCAACACCUCAAACACAAACUCCAUACCAUUUAACAAUCACUCUUAAUUCUUCAUUCUCCCCACUCCCAGGCAAACACAAAUCUACUUUCUGUCUCUGUGGUUUUGCCUGUUCCGGACAUUUCAUAUAAAUGAAAUCAUACAAUGCCUUUUCUGGCUGAAUUCUUUUUACAAUAUAAUAAUUUCAAGGUUCAUUCAUGUUGUAACACGUAUCAGUACAUCAUUCCUUUUUAUUUCUGAAUGAUAUUGAAUUAUAUGGACAUACUACAUUUUGUUAUCCACUCAUCAGUUGCUGGACAUCUGUAUUAUUUCCAUUUCUGAGGUAUUAUGUGUAACACUGCUAUGGACAUUUAUGUGGAAUUUUUUGUGGACAUAUGUUUUCACUUCUCUUGGAUAUAUACCCAGGAGUGUAAAUUGCUGGUCAUAUUGUCUCUGUUUUAUAAUACAUUUUGAGGAACUGCCAAACUGCUUUCCAAUGUGACUUCACCACUUUAAAAUCCCACAGCAAUAUAUGAUAAUUACAAUUUCUCCAUAUCCUCACCAACAUUUGUUAUCAUCUGUUUUUUUUAUCUGAGCCGUCCUAGUGAGUAUAAAGUGGUAUCUCAUUAUAGUUUUGAUUAGCAUUUCCCUUCUGGCUAAUGAUGCUGAGUAUCUUUUCAUGUGUUUCUUAGCCAUUUGCAUAUUUUUCCUUGAAAACAGUCUAUUAAGAUAUUUUUCCUUAUUUUUGAAUGGGUUAUUUGUUUUUUCACUACUGAAUUGUAAGAGUAGUUUCUUUAUGCUAAAUACAAGAGCUGUAUCAGUUAUAUGUUUUGCAAUUGUUUUCCCUUUUACUGGAUUGUUAUAAUAAAGAGUCUGACUCCAUUAUUGAUGUGUGACUCUUGGCAGCUUUUAAAACCCCAUCCUAAUGUCUUCCCCUUCUGUCCCGCACUGGACCAUGAUGAUAAGAAAGUCUGGGUUUUCCCACCUUUGGCACUGAAGGGAAGUUCAAACCACACAGGGGGACCCUCAGCCCAGCCUCAUCUUAUAACCCCCAUAAAACCCCCA
rnacentral:lncRNA from 1 species